rnacentral:rRNA from 1 species
AGCAGUGGGAAUAUUGCACAAUGGGCGCAAGCCUGAUGCAGCCAUGCCGCGUGUAUGAAGAAGGCCUUCGGGUUGUAAAGUACUUUCAGCAGUGAGGAAGGUGGGUAUGUUAAUAGCAUACUCAUUUGACGUUAGCUGCAGAAGAAGCACCGGCUAACUCCGUGCCAGCAGCCGCGGUAAUACGGAGGGUGCGAGCGUUAAUCGGAAUUACUGGGCGUAAAGCGCAUGCAGGUGGUUUGUUAAGUCAGAUGUGAAAGCCCGGGGCUCAACCUCGGAAUUGCAUUUGAAACUGGCAAACUAGAGUACUGUAGAGGGGGUAGAAUUUCAGGUGUAGCGGUGAAAUGCGUAGAGAUCUGAAGGAAUACCGGUGGCGAAGGCGGCCCCCUGGACAGAUACUGACACUCAGAUGCGAAAGCGUGGGGAGCAAACAGGAUUAGAUACCUGGUAG